UUAACAAAGAAAAAGAAAAAUAUGGGAGGGAGAGAGGGAGAGAUGCACGUUCUCUGUUCUCUCUUUUGUUUUUCUUCUUCUUUUUCAAUUUUCCAGUGUCCCGCUUUUUCAACAAAUAACGGGGAA
rnacentral:ribozyme from 1 species